UGAGGAAUAUUGGACAAUGGGUGAGAGCCUGAUCCAGCCAUCCCGCGUGAAGGAUGACGGUCCUAUGGAUUGUAAACUUCUUUUAUAUGGGGAUAAACCUACUUACGUGUAAGUAGCUGAAGGUACCAUAUGAAUAAGCACCGGCUAACUCCGUGCCAGCAGCCGCGGUAAUACGGAGGGUGCGAGCGUUAUCCGGAUUUAUUGGGUUUAAAGGGUCCGCAGGCGGGCUUGUAAGUCAGCGGUGAAAUCUCAUGGCUCAACCAUGAAACUGCCGUUGAUACUGCGGGUCUUGAGUAAGGUUGAAGUGGCCGGAAUGAGUAGUGUAGCGGUGAAAUGCAUAGAUAUUACUCAGAACACCGAUUGCGAAGGCAGGUCACUAAGUCUUAACUGACGCUGAGGG
rnacentral:rRNA from 1 species